AAGCCACGGCUAACUACGUGCCAGCAGCCGCGGUAAUACGUAGGUGGCAAGCGUUAUCCGGAAUUAUUGGGCGUAAAGCGCGCGUAGGCGGUUUUUUAAGUCUGAUGUGAAAGCCCACGGCUCAACCGUGGAGGGUCAUUGGAAACCGGAAAACUUGAGUGCAGAAGAGGAAAGUGGAAUUCCAUGUGUAGCGGUGAAAUGCGCAGAGAUAUGGAGGAACACCAGUGGCGAAGGCGACUUUCUGGUCUGUAACUGACGCUGAUGUGCGAAAGCGUGGGGAUCAAACAGGAUUA
rnacentral:rRNA from 1 species